ensembl:snRNA U4 U4 spliceosomal RNA
AGCUUUGUGUAGUGGCAGUAUCAUAGCCAAUGAGGUUUAUCCUUGGCGCAAUUAUUGCUAAUUGAAAACUUUUCCUGAUGCCCCGCCAUGAUGACUUGAAAUAUAGUUGGCAUUGGCAAUUUUCGGCAGUCUCUAUGGGGA